UGCAGGAACCUGCCCUUGCUGAGGUUGUGAUGCUUGGCUAUGCUGAUGAGAUGAGGUAACUUCUUCAGGAGCCUGCCUUCCAUAGCUCAUCUGGGUCCAGCUUCCUCCGCUGCUAUCAAGUUGAGGAGAUGCAAUACUAACAGGUAAAUCAUGCUUCAAUUUAGACUUUGAUUGAGCGCUCUGUUGCUGUUGCAAUUUCAAUUCUGCAGCUAUAGCAGGAGGCUCAGUAGCUUGAUGCGAAUGUGACUCAUCUUUCUGAAAAUCAGCUUGAGAAGAUGUGCUUAAUUUCAUGUCCAAUGGAUCAGGUUCAUCACAUCCAGAGGCCUCAACUGUGUCCAUACCAUCGUGAACUUUGCUGCCACAUGGAACCGUAAUUACUUGUUCUGAAAGUUCAGUCUCAACUAGAGUGUUCAAAGUCACCUGCCGACUGUCAGAGUCUGGAG
rnacentral:lncRNA from 1 species